rnacentral:rRNA from 1 species
GACGAACGCUGGCGGCGUGCUUAACACAUGCAAGUCGAACGGAAAGGCCCUGCUUUUGUGGGGUGCUCGAGUGGCGAACGGGUGAGUAACACGUGAGUAACCUGCCCUUGACUUUGGGAUAACUUCAGGAAACUGGGGCUAAUACCGGAUAGGAGCUCCUGCUGCAUGGUGGGGGUUGGAAAGUUUCGGCGGUUGGGGAUGGACUCGCGGCUUAUCAGCUUGUUGGUGGGGUAGUGGCUUACCAAGGCUUUGACGGGUAGCCGGCCUGAGAGGGUGACCGGCCACAUUGGGACUGAGAUACGGCCCAGACUCCUACGGGAGGCAGCAGUGGGGAGUAUUGCACAGUGGGCGGAAGCCUGAUGCAACAACGCCGCGUGCGGGAUGACGGCCUUCGGGGUAUAAACCGCUUUCGCCUGUGACGAAGCGUGAGUGACGGUAAUGGGUAAAGAAGCACCGGCUAACUACGUG